GGGCGGUUAGCUCAGUUGGUAGAGCAUCAGUCUUACAAACUGGGGGUCGCAAGUUCGAAUCUUGCACCGCCCACCA
rnacentral:tRNA from 1 species